rnacentral:misc_RNA from 1 species
AUUUUAUGUGUGUUACUAUCCAAAGCUUCUAGAUUGCCAGAGUUACAUUAUAGGGCAAAUUGAUGAGAUGAAGCCGAACAUUCUACAAAUAAUAUAAAAUAUCUACCAUCUAACCAUCUAGAAGCCCUAGAUUCGCAAACUUCCCCUUUCAAAUAUGAGUUUAGUUCAGGAAAAGUCAUGUAUAUGUGUUUGUGUGACUCUGCUCAUAAAAAGGAGGAAGAAGAAGAAAGUAGAAUAACCUCCGAGCCCCAUUUCUUCCUGAA